UUGGUUUUCGCCAGGCAAAAUGGGACACAUGUCGUCCAAAAAGUUCUACUUCUGACUCAUCUGUCCAUAGAAAAUUCUUCAAGGAGUCUUGACGACCAUCCAGGUGCUUCCAAGUCCUUUUUUGGCAAACUUGAGUGAACUUUUUGGAUGAGAUGGGUCCCAUUAUGUCUGGCGAAAACCCAAACACUGCAUUCCACAGUAAGAACCUCAUACCAACGGUCAAGCAUGGUGGUAGUGGGAUGGUUUGGGGAUGCUUUGCUGCCUCAAGACCUGGGCAACUUGCCAUUCUAGAAGGAACCAUGAAUUCUGCUCUGUAUCAGAAUUAUACAAGAGAAUGUCAGGCCAUCUGUCUGAGUUGAAGCGCAGCUGGGUCAUUCAGCAAGACAAUGAUCCAAAACACACAAUGAAAUCUACAUGAAAAUGGUUAAAAAGCAACAAAUCUGAAGUUUUGUAAUGGCCUAGUCAAAGUCCACAUCUGAAACGAGCAGUUCAUGCUUUGAAACCCACAAAUGUUGCUGAGCUAAAGCAGUUCUGCAUGCAAGAGUGGGUCAAAAUUCCUCCACAGCGAUGUGAGAGACAGAUCAACAACUACAGGAAGUAUUUGGUUACAGCCAGCCAAAGGUGGCAAAACCAGUUGAGUGUAAGAGGGCAAUUACUUUUUCACACAGGGGAAUUGGGUGUUGCAUAACUAUUCAUUCAAUUAAAUAAGCAUCAAUUUGUUUUAUUUGUAAACUCAGGUUCCUUUUAUCUAAUAAUAGGUUUUGGUUGAAGAUCUGAUAACAUUCAGUAUCAAAUAUGCACAAGAAAACAGAGAAUCAGAAAGAGGGCAAAUGCUCGGCACUGUACAUAGUAUAAAGAAACAUUUACCUAAAAAGAUCUGUGAAAUCCUCCAACAGAUCAUCACAAUGGUCCUCGAGCUUCAAAAGGAGAUGAUUCAAAUAAUGAACAUUGCUUCAAAAACAGGGGUAAGGAACAUUGCGGCAGAGCCUGGUAUAGUGGAUCUACUGUACAGUAUAGGGAGCUUGUGAUUUAUUUUUAAGACUGAACAUAUACUCAGAGUUGUCAUGUAAUGUAUAUCACAAUUUCAACGUUGUAGUUACGUUCUUCAAAGUUAGAAUCAAUUCAAUGCCGUCUGUCUAUGGUUUAGCAGUGCCACAGGAGGUUGGUGGCACCUUAACUGGGGAGGAUGGCUGAUAGUAAUGAAUGGAAUUAUUAGAAUGACAUCAGACUCCUCAAACAAAUGGUUUCCAUGGGAUUGAAACCAUUCCAUUAACUCCAUUCCAGACAUUAUUAUGAGCCGUCCUCCCCUCAGCAACGUCCUGUGUUUAGCACUAGAAGCACUAUCUAACUGCGAAUAGAUUAAAGGUUGUCGAUAGGAAAUCGCUUUCCCUAUUUUAUUAUGUGAUGGACAUCACAAGAUGAGACGAUAACAGCUCGCGGCCUGGCCUACAUUUAUAGGAUUAACAAUAUUAUUGAUGGUGGGUUAAAUAUAUCCUAUGUAAUACCUUCAAAAGCUUUGGAAACAGGAACGUCUAAAUCCUAUUCAUACCCGCUAACCUAAUUAAAGUACAUGCAUUUUAAAUAUCAUUAACGUUCAUUAGAGGUGUCAACCCCUCCUCCUGGAGAAUUACUGGGUGAGCUGAAUCUGGUGUUAGAGCAGGCCUGGAGCAAAAGCCUGCAUACCCAGUAGCUUUGCAGGAGGAAAUGUAGAAUCUCUGACAUACAGUAUGAUCCAGCACUACUUUCCACAGAUAUGCAUAUUAUAAAUGAUGACACUGUGUACAUUUAUGCUGACUAGACAUUCCUUCUCUUUCCAGCCUGUACUGCCAACAGUGUCUGACUCUGGAGCCUUAGUUGUUGAGUCCUAAGCAGCCUCUAGAUCUAAUUACGGAAGCAUCUAACAAUCUUGGAUUGGCACUUGGAAAGGAGGUCCAUUUGGCAGUAAACUGUGCUGCUCACGACAUAAUGGACUAUGUGUGUAAACAGAACGUUAAAACACGCACAGUGUGUCCUUGCGUACAAUUCUAUAUGCGGGUACAGCAAGCGGUACCGAUACACCAAGUCUGGAAUCAACAAGACCCUGAACAGCUUCUACUCCCAAGCCAUAAGACUGCUAAUUAGUUAGUCCGGGUUUCUAUUUGGUUAACAAUUGAACAAUUUGCAAUGACGCUUUUUGCACUAACUUUUUUGACUCACCACAUACGCUGCUGCUACUGUUUAUUAUCUAUCCUGUUGCCUAAGCACUUUAUUCUUAGCUACAUAUUCUCUCUCUUACCUCGUACCCCUGCACAUCGACUCAGUACUGGUACCCCUUGUAUAUAGCCAAGUUAUCAUUACUUAUGAUUUAUUUCUCUCUGCAUUGUUGGGAAGGGCCCUUGAGUAAGCAUUUGACAAAUAACAUUUGAUUUCCCAUUGAAACCAAUGUUUAACCUUCAAUAAUUUUGUUAGUUAAAAUGUUAUGUUGACAUACUAUAGUUAUUCAAAACAAAAUAUAAGCUGGAAAAAUAUCUACUUUAAAGUUAGAUUUUAUUUUCUCUCUCUGCUCCAAAAGGAAAGUAUGAAGUUAUUACAGGAACCCCCAAGUCUCCAGAUAAACUAGUGGAUGAGGCUUUGAUUAGUAAAUACCCAGCAGUCGUAGCCCUGCUUGAUCCUCUGUGAAAAGAGGUAAGAUGUGAACACCCCUCCGAACACACGUCCACAGUAAAUGAAAGACAUGCGUUGGUGUGCUUAUAGAAACUCAUGGUGUGUGUGUGUGUGUGUGUGUGUGACCCGAUGUGUAAGGAGCAGUAGGAGAGACUAAGCAGUGUGGCUGGAGCCUCCUGCAACCUGCUCUCUGACAUCUCCUCUAAGCCCCAGUGUCACGGGUCACAGGAAGAUGCCCCAUCUCUUCCAGGGGUACAUCCUGAAUCGGACCAAUAAAGUCACCGACCUGACCUAUGUCACCACAGAGCACAAAGGGAAUCCACUGAUGGAGUUUUACAUAGAGCUGUUUACUAAUACAUGACUCAUUGUCCUAAUGUAGGUCAAAUGUACAGUGUGCAACAUUUUGAUGGAAUGUCAAGAAAAAUUGGAGGUCAAAUCGAUGCUAGGGGAAUAAGCCGUCAUAUUGGCCAGAUUGACCUAUAAUAAUUGCCAUCACAACAUCAAUACUGUGAAUAGAAACAGUAGUAUGAACACGACAGUAUAAAUAUUUUGGAAUAAAUAGGUGACGUGUGAGACACGCCGACUUACAUGGUUCCUCUGAUGGUUUCAGUUGGAUGAAUUCCAAAUGAAGAUUUUUCCCAUUUGAGUGCAGCCGACUCAAACUUUUAUCACAGGGAGCCAAAUGAAUGUCUGCGUGGGCCAUGUAUCGAUCGAAUGAUGCGACCCGACGAUACUUCUACUGUUAAAGGUCAUCGGACCCAAAAUUAUGUUCAGUCGGUUUACCUUUGUUCUAAUCUCUCAUGGACAGAUGCAUGUAGCAUAAAUGGAAGUAUUAUCUGUCUACAGACUGUGGGAUGCGACGACUAACGAGGAACUUUGUUUCCGGUAUGCAGAUUUUUCGCCACUGAUCAUUUGGGCAAAUGAUUCCGCAGGUGCUCGCAUCUAUUUAAUUUCUGAAUGGGAGGGGACAUUUGGCCCAUAGACUUGCUUGAACUGUCAGAGUUUACGAUUGGAGGGGUGGAGACUUCGCUAGUUUCGUUAGUAUAUUUUCUAACCCGUCUCCCCCUGAACUCAACUGAGCAUCUGACGCAAUUUACACAAGAUUUUAGUUCAGGGUGUCCGAGAUUACCUUUGUUCUUAAGAUCUCGCUCAAAUUAAUGUUCUUCUAUAUGAAACUAUGGUUUCUUAGUUCAUGCUUAUUUUGGGGAAUUCACUGUUUUUCAGAGGAACCCCUGUAAUGACAGAUGGUGUAAAGCAGGGAUGGGCAACUUUGAUAGGGUGGGGGUCAUUCUUCUUUAAAAAAAUUUUAAAAAAACGCAUUGCGAGCCCCCAUCUUGACAGCAGAGCUAAAAGAAAAUACAAAAUAAACGCUUUAGAGUUAAUUUUGUGCAAUUCUACACUUUCCCAUGGGCUGUAGAGAAAAUGUUGCAGUUUUGAAGCACGUUUGCUGCAAUUCUACUCAUUUUGCCAAAGGGUGGGGGAAAUGUUUGCAGUUUUCAAUAUGAUAUCUGAGUGAAACUGACUAAUAAAAUCAAUGGGGGGGCCCCCCGGCCAGUAAUUCGACAAGUUUAGAUAGCUGGCUGCAAAACUAACUUUACAAUCGAAAAAAUGUUAGCUGACAUGGGCUAAUUGACUGACUAUCAGUGACUGACAUAAAGCGAUAAGAGGGGGAGGGUUGAUCCGAGACCCUUCAAAAGUUGCCCAUCCCUGGUGUAAAGAGUUGAUUCAUUGACCUGGUAAUACAUUACUUUUGUGUGUGUCUUUUUGUAUGUCAGGUGAGGUAAUAAUUGGAACGACGUGUGGUGAGCCCUGCAGUGACAACUCGCUCUCAGAUGUGGUCGUAGGCCUGGGAGUUGUGUAUGUCAAACUGGGAGGUCUGAGUCGUGGAGAGCGGCUGACUAAAUACAACCGUCUGAUUUCUAUAGAGGAAGAAUUGGCCCAGCAGGGAAUACUGGGUAUGGCUUUUUCCUCUCGCCUUUUCAGCCAGUAGAAAGAGGGGGCUAGACAAAGCUAUGGGUAGGAGAGGCAGUAAUGGCUGGGAUGGUGAGAAUACAUUUCUCCCUGGACGUGAAAGGAAACUGUGUGUCAGGAAUCAUGAAGAGGGGGGAAAAGGAGCUGGCGAAAACCCUACCUUGGUUCUGUUAAUUGGCCACCUAAUUACGCCUCCCAAAAAAGGGACAGGGAUAUUGGGCAAUUACUGAAAAGCGAGUUCAUCUUUGUAUAAAAUAAAGAAUUAACUUCUGCACCAAUUGCAUAUACAGGACUCUUGUAUAUCGUUUGGCUCUGGCUAUGGGGAAUAUAUAUAUUUUUAGUGCUGUCACAGCAGUAGAAAUCAUCAGACCUAGAAUAGAGGGGCCUGGAGCGAGGAGGGACAUGUUCAAUGUGCAUAGACCUCUACAGAACAUGUUCAAUAGACUGUCAUGCAGGGGCUAGUUUCGCUUUGGCCUUUUUAAAGCCUUUGUUGUGCAUUCAACUUAUUUCACUUGUUUUCUGUCUGCAGAUUUAAGAAAAGACACAUCCUCGCUCUUUGUUGGAGAAACGGAGGAGCAGUCAUUUACAUAAUAUAAUUAAUAUAAGGAUUAAAUAAUUAAUAUAAGGAUUAAAUGAAUACCAUAGUGUUUUUAUUCCAAAAUGACAUUUUCUAUUUAUGUUUACGUCAAUCUAAUGUAAUUACUAGUCUUAAAAUGAAUAGCUCAUACAAUCUAUUUAAAUGAUACACCAUUACAUUUCUUCCCAUAUUAAAAUGAAUGAAUUUUCAGUCGUCACUUAGUGCAAAAAGGUUUCACGCUAACUAAAUGCAGCGUUGAUCUGUAUUUUUCCUUGGAAACAAAACUGAAUUGAUCAAAAUGACCACAUAAAGGAAUCCCAAUUUGGCAUCACAUACUCUGGAAUAAACAAAUUAUAUUUACACAUAUAUUUGCAAAUUCCAAAGAAUAAAAAAUACACACACAUACAAAAAGAUUAUGUAAGACACAGUGGUCAAUAUUAUUUUGAAUAAACCUGUCCAUUAUUUUUAUGUGGUUUAUGACAUUUCCAUUUUUGGUAUAAUGCCAGUGUUGGGGUAGCUACUCUGAAAAGAUAGUUUACCAAUUACUUCACACUGAAAGAAUUUAAGCUAAACUAAAGCUAGCCUUAAGAAAAAUAUAGUUUAAUUAACUGAAGUUACUUUGAAAAAGUAGUUCACUACAUCCAAACUACUUUGUGAAAAAUUAUCAUAUGUAUCUGAAUGUGUAAUUUAGCCUAUUAAACACAACUGUUUCAAGUGAGAUGGUCUGAUGCCGAAAAAAACUUCACCCAUAUUAUCUUUUAUUUUGUUUUCCAAAAAGUAGUGUGUAGUUCCAGGAGUUAGCUACAUGGCAAAAAAAUAUUAAAUUUGAAUUUAGUUCAACUACCACCAAUCUACUGCAAAAUGUAAUUCAAUUACUAGUUGGACCAAAUGUCGUUCAUUACUCCCCAACCCUGUGUAGUGCAGUGGGGACACCAGACAUGCUUUGUACUCUGAGGUCUUCUUUCCUUCACCAGAGAGCUGACUGCAGCAUUGACAGGUGCAGGUCUCUUGUCUAAAGAGAAAUAGAUGAAAAGGAACACAGAUGAGAAACACUGAGCAAGACCAACGAUUUAUACACUCAUCCAUCUUAACAAGCGUUUGAGUGUAAAGCAAUUUUAAAAUCGACCUUGAUUAGAAAUCCACCAAAGUACUGGAAUAGUUUGAUACUGACAGAAAAAUAUUUGAUAUUAGUAGCACUCACUAUUACUCAAUUAGUGGAACUCACUAAUCAAUAUCUUCGUGUAACAUGUUACUGCUGAUACAAGUUAUUGUUUAGGAAACAUCCUAUUUUUUAAGCAAUGUUGACAGGAUGACAGAUGGAUCUGAAAGAGCCGACACAAAAGAAGGCUAAAGCAUACAGCAACUCAAUGCUGACCACCAAGUAAAGCCAACACACUGAGAAAGGGCCCCUUCAUAAUUUGUCAUAUCCUCAUCCGACUCCAACAGAGUUCCUAGAGGAAAUGAUUAUGUAGUCUAAACAGUUGUGGCAUGCCCUGCGUCAGUGUAACAGAGGGGGCAGUUGUUCCAGUGGGAAGUAGACGGUUCAGAGGUGCUUUGUGCACCAACAGACAGGGAGAGCCACCACACAGCUGUGUUGGAGCACUUACGGCCUGCCUCAAUGGCCCUGUCAAAGGAGUUCUUCAUUCGUGCUCUUUUCAACUGAAAAUGCAACAUUGAUUUAUCCAUUAAUUACUGUAUUUAACCUAUCAAUUUACUUGAUUUAUGAUUUAAGGAUAGUUUUUCCAUACUUAUUUAACUUGGCUUAUCUUUAUCGUAACUUAAGUAGACAUAUCAUUCUGAGUAAAAGCUGAACAUGGCACAAAGCACAAUUACUCCUGUUAUCAAGAAUGCCUGCGUAGUUACAACAUUUUAGGAUGAGUAAACUUGCAUUUUAAUUGGAAUAUCAACUUACUAAAGAUUGUGAGCAUCAUAAUAGACUGGAUUUCACUUGUUUUUUGAAGUGCUUAGCUCGGCAUUGCCUCAACUACUAUGGUAUAUAAUACAAAAUUGUUGAUAAAGAUGAGAGAAUAUUCUGUGUUCAUAUAGCCAUCUACUUAACAUCCAAACAUGCCAAGGAAGAAGAGAAAGAGAGAGCUAGGGAGUUCACUGGAUCUACAGAAUCCUCUAAUCAAUGAGUGUGGAUAGCCAGACGUAGCGGGCAGAGAGAAAGCAGCCCUAUGAAUUGGCCCUGAGCAGCCAUGGUUCCCCACCAGGCAAUUACUCUGUUUGGAAAAUAAACGGAAUGACUAACAAAAUAGGCUAAAUUAAGUGUUUCCUAGACACACUAAAAAGAGGCUUCCUAAUUGCCAAUCCCUCUGGGGGGAAAAAAACCAACAAAACGUUGCAUUGUAUUGGCUGAUGGCGACAGAAAUAGAGAGCGGUAAAGAUGGCUCUCACCAAAAUAAAAAGGGACACAGCAUGCCUCCGGGUAAUUACAUUGUCGCCUUGAUCGACAGAAUCUUUACUGCUUGUCAAUCAAUGUCAGACGGCAGAUCGCCAAAGAGGAAGCAGGGAAAGGCCAGGUCAUGGACUCUGUUUUCGACGUUGAGCUGUCCAUGGACUGAAAACAACAGCUCCAAGGAGAGCAAGCAUCAGCUGGCCGUAGUCGGUGAUACUGUUUGUGACUUCUAGAAUCAGAUUCCGUACGAAAUACUGAAGACCUACAAUGACAUACUUUUUUUAAGUGCAAUCAUUUCAAAGAGGUUGAGGAGAGACUGAGGCCAGGAUUCAAAGAAACGCAGAUUACUGACAUCGCACUGCACUUGGUGGAACCACAGUAACUGCCAUCAAAUCAAUGAUUCCCUUGAAGCAUGCUUAAUUUUCUGUUUGAAUUAAAUGAUGUAACCGUUCUAUUUGGCAUUUUGACAGUUAACACAGUUGGAAUCAAGGCAAUAUUUUACAUUUAUGAAUCAGGCUCGCAGCGCGAAGGUUGUUUAUCUGUGUUUGAAUCCCAGCCUGUGGGACCAUUUCCUGCUAUAACAUCCAUUAUUACUAUGGUAUUCUCCCUCUCUUUGUCUCGCUUUCUGUCUGUCCAUCACAUAGAGUGGCUUACUCAAGCAAUGUCUGAUGCUCAAUGUCACUCUCAUCUCAUUGGACGUUAUCUAAGUUUAGUCUUAGUUAACCUCCUCUUCCUUCAACAUGAGAAAAUGGAGGGCCAUAAGAAAAACAUGUCAGUCUGCACAAUUAGUCAUUUCCGAGUCCUUGGUGCAAGCAACGUCCCCUUGUCCACUGAUCCCUCUGUCUGCAAGGCCAUUGUCAAGGGGAAUUCUGCUGUUAAAUAAAAUGACAAAGUGACUUCCUCUUCCAACAAUGUUGUAGCCCUGUCUGUAUUUUUGCGGCAGUCCACUGAUGAAUGAAUGUGCAGAGCCAAUAGGUCUUAAGAUGAAGUCUGAGCCCCUUGAGGCGCCUGGAAGAUAAAUCUAACACAAGACACUUUAUCCUCAAACAGGCUUUUGGGGGUAAGUAGUAUACAUGUAAACAACAUGGCAGAAAGAAAAGUCACUCAAAUUGAAUUUCCUCCACAAUCUUGGGGGAUUUGACUCUUUCUUUCAACUGUGCUCCAAGUGGAAAUUGUGCCUUAGUGACAAAUGAGACCCAAAUCCUCAAUUAGUGCUCCACACAAUGGUUACGGGACGUCACACUCCUGUUUCUGGCUCUCACAUUUCCCCCUCACUUCAGAAAUAGUCCAACAAAUUUGUGCAGGUGAGUGAAAAAAGCCCAUCCUCAUGGUCAACUAAGCGUGAUGGUCAUUGUGGCGUUCUGAGAGCAAGUUGAUCCCAAUCCAAUUGUUCUGUAACAAACACCUAGCAGAACAGCUUAACCUGUAGUUGCCAAGCAUUUGACUAAAAUCUAAAGCUCCAGUACCACCAGUUACGGUGCUAUAUGUGCAUUUACAUGCUUGAAAUUCUUUAGUUUUGAAAUAGAUUCUGCUAUAAAAAAUCUUUACAAUAAUGCCUUCAAAUAACACCUGCACAAAAAAAUAAUCUUGGUCCAUGAAAGACUGGGGGAGUAUCGAGCGAGGGGAGUAGUGGAAACAAAAUCUGCCACAGUGCCCUGUAAUUGCUCACUGGGAGGCUACAAGGUUAAUACUGGUCUAGACAGACCAAUUUAAAGACAUACUUGCUUUGGCAAAUGUUCAAGGCUACAAAAGCCGGCUGACGGAUCCUCUCAGUGCAAACAAAGACUGUGUCAAAAAUGUGGGCUUCACCUUCACCAUUAAAGAAAUUUUAACAAAGCCUACGGUUGUGGGAACAAAGUAUUUCAUUUCACCUAAAUCAAUCGCCCCAUGGUAAUCCCUCAUACAGUAGUGCACUCCCUCCCCAAAACAAAACAAGCAGCAGUGUGAAAACAUCACAGCUUAAUACAACAUGAAGCCACGGUGCACUGGAUCUCAAGAGCGGCUCUAAUUAUUCCUGUAAUCAUCAGAAACAACUAGGGCCAGACUGGUUCUUACUCUAAAGGAGAUUUAUCUUACAGAAAGAAGUAGGUUUCUCAUUUUCAAUCAGUUGGGUCUUGGGACUUAAACGCCAUUGUAAAUAAUGC
ensembl:lncRNA